UACGGGGGAUGCAAGCGUUAUCCGGAUUUAUUGGGUUUAAAGGGUGCGUAGGCUGUGAGGUAAGUCAGCGGUGAAAUGCCCCCGCUCAACGGGGUGAAGUGCCAUUGAUACUGCCUUGCUGGAAUGCGGAUGCCGUGGGAGGAAUGUGUGGUGUAGCGGUGAAAUGCAUAGAUAUCACACAGAACACCGAUUGCGAUGGCAUCUCACGAAUCCGCGAUUGACGCUGAUGCACGAAAGCGUGGGUAUCAAACAGG
rnacentral:rRNA from 1 species